rnacentral:lncRNA from 1 species
AACACCAAACCACACCCAUUUAUCCUUCCCAUUAAGAAAGACCCUGCAACCAAUCUGUUCUACACUUCAGUUGGUGUAGGAACUCCUAGGCACAACUUUGAUCUAACCAUUGAUCUUGCUGGAGAAAACCUAUGGUACGACUGUAACACUCAUUACAACUCUUCUUCCUACCGUCCUAUCGCUUGUGGCUCAAAGCAAUGCCCCGACGUUGGAUGUGUUGGCUGCAACGGCCCCUUCAAACCAGGUUGCACAAACAACACAUGUCCUGCUAACACAGUCAAUCCAUUAGCAAAAUUCCUUUUCGGUGGUGGCUUAGCUAAGGAUUUCAUAUUCAUUGUUCAACAGAAAGUGUCUGGCUUGCUUUCUAGCUGUAUUGACACCGAUCGAUUCCCAUCCUUCACCGAUAACGAGACACCUCUAGAUGGCUUACCCAAAAACAGCAGAGGAAUUGCAGGCUUCUCAAAGUCGCAGCAUGCAUUACCAAUUCAGCUUGCAUCCACUAAUAAGCUUCCUUCCAAGUUUUCUCUCUGUUUACCCUCUUUAAACCACCAAGGUUUCACCAACUUGCUUGUUGGAACUGGGAAACAUCCUCUGGGAAUAUCCAAAUUUCUCCAAACCACCCCUCUCAUUGUCAACCCCAUUUCCACAGGUCCGAGAUCUGUGGAAGGUGUUGCUUCCAACGAAUACUUCAUUGACGUGAAAGCAGUUAAGAUUGAUGGGCAUGUUGUGAACCUAAAGCCUUCCCUUUUGUCUAUUGACAAGAACGGAAAUGGGGGCACCAAGAUUAGUACCAUGAGUCCUUUCACUGAAUUACAAACCUCUGUCUACAAGCCUUUCCUUCGCGAUUUCCUCAAGAAAGCCUCCGAAAGAAGAUUAAAGAAAGUGGCAGCAGUGGCACCAUUUGAGGCAUGCUUCGAUUCAACAAAAAUUGGUAAUUCCGCAACAGGACUAGUUGUGCCAACUAUUGAUCUAGUGCUGCAAGGGGGAGCAAAGUGGAGUAUUCAUGGAGCCAAUUCCAUGGUUAUGGCAAAGGAAAAUGUUGCAUGUCUGGCAUUUGUUGAUGGAGGGACAGAGCCUGUAAUGUCUUUUGUGAAAGCUUCAAUUGUGAUCGGAGGAUAUCAGUUGCAGGACAACCAUUUGGUGUUUGACGUGGCUUCCUCUAAAUUAAGCUUCAGUUCUUCGCUGUUGCUCCACAAUGCCACGUGUUCUCACUCUUGAAUGAGAUGUGUGUUUUUGACGCGUUGAAGUUAGCCACGUUGAAGAACAUGUAGCUAGUAGCUUCUAUCUUUCAAUGCUUUGAGGAUAAUUGAAGAAUAAAUGUUUGCUUUGUUGUAAAUGGAAACACACCUUAGCGUUUUCAUGUGUGCCAUUUAGAGGGGUAGAAUUUUUUCUAAGAUUGAUAGAGAACUUCUGUAAGCUGUGCUCAGCAUCUGCUACAAUUGCUAGCAGGAAAAUGUAGAACUUUCUAAAUUAUGUAUUGUAUCUCUUUAUCUCUCUCUCUUUCUAAAUUAUUUAUUGUAUCUCUUUAUCCCUCUCUCUUUCUAAAUUAUUUAUUGUAUCUCUUUAUCUCUCUCUUCUAAAUUAUGUAUUGUCUCUCUAUAUAUAACUUUUUUCACUCUAUACAUCUACAUCACCCAUCUAUAUAUAUGGAUUUCUCCCUUUAUUUUUAUUUUAUUAUUUUAAAAAUGUAUAAAAGGAGACAUUUGUGAGUAGUUAAAACUUUAUAUUUCAAAAGGAUAAGAAGAGAUAACACUAUUUUUAAUUAAAAAAAUUUAAAUUCAAAAUUAAACAUUGCAAAAUAAAAUUUGUUGAGAUGGUAAAAUUGCAUAUUUUUCUCUCUUUCAUUUUUACUUUUAACCACGAAACCAAGUAAGUGUUGUAUACUUUUAACCACGAAACUAAGUAAGUGUUGUAUGUUGUUUUUUAAUUAUAUAGUAGAAUAUGAAAAUAUAAUGUGUGAAUUUUAUUUUUUUUAUUUGUUUUUAGAAAAUGUCAAAGUUAAGCUUGCGUACCAGAAAACGGGUAAAAGUAAAGAAUUGUAAAGGACUUUCAACAUUUUAAUGUUACAAUGUUAGGUUAAUCAUGAAAACAGGGAUUCAAAGUUUACCAUAAAGGAGCUUCACUUUUCUCUCAUACACAGUCACCACUCCUGAUAAAAAUGCAACAACCAGUAAGCAGAGGCGCGGAGAUACGCUACAUUUCUACCUAUUAACUGAAAUAGAAAUUGAAACAGAAGAUAAAAUUGUGGAGCACCCAUGAGAAUUCCAGAAAGUCUAAGAGCCAUAGGAACCGAUGGGUUCAGGAUCUCUUUGCUUCACAUAAACAAAGAAAUAGAAUCAGUGAUGUAACAGAAAACAGAGAACAGUUGGGAUCAGAGUUAUAACUUAUAAUAAAUACAGAGCAGAAACGGACAUAUUUGACCAAGAGGAGCCUUCCAGGCAAGAAGCUGGUGUGAGUAAACAUCUUCAAUACAAGAGAAAUUAAACUAUCUGUAUAUACAAUUCACCAAAGUAGCAAAACCUCUUAUUAUCUUAAAUUAGAAAAGGCAAAGAUAGAAGAAUUUGAAAGCAAACCUUGCAAAAAAAACUCCCUCCUCCGCUUCGCAUUGCAACACUCUCUACCCGCAGAUGUAAUGUCUUAUAAUGUAAUGCAGCAAGUAACAACAAACACGCCUAUUGCUAACAACGAAUGUGGCAAACAAAGAGCUACCCUCAGUGCACCGAAUUUUCCCGUGCUACAAGCAUGACUAUAACAGGAGUAGCAGUGAUGUUUACUCACUCCCGACUGUUAGAGUGGGCUCCACAUGUCAACGAUUUUUCUCGUUUUUUGUUCAUCGAAGAUGAAUUCGUUAGAAAAAGGUAAAAACCCAUAAAAAAUGGACACGCGCAUCACAUUGUCACGUGACUCUCAUUUUCAUUGUUCCAUCUAUACUUCACUCACCAACUACCAAGCCCAAUCCCAAUCUCGCAGAGAGAGAGCUUUGGUAGAUGGAGGAGGCACUGGUGGAAGUGUGCGAGCCCGCAGAGGUGCGAAUAGAGUUCGCACUCAACUGCAAAUGCCGAGCCACGUGCGGCUUCGCUCUCUAAACCCAAUCUCACCAGUGGCUUUCAAGAUCCAAACCUCAUCGCCAAAAAAGUUUCUGUCAACCCACCCUGUGGACUCAUUCUCCCUUUAUCCUUCGCCACCUUCAAAGUCAUCCUUAAGCCGCAGUCUCAUCUCCCUCGCUCCUUCCCUCGCUCCCCCUCCAACCGCUUCCUCGUGAAAACCGCCGAGUUCGCCGCCAACUCGUCCGGGUCCACUCACCCCGACUCCAUCAACUCGUGGUUCGCCUCUCGCCCCUACGGAUUCAAAACUCGGGACAUCAAACUGAAGGUGGCCUUCGUGGGACCCUUCCUCCUUAACGAUGCCGUCACGCGCGGAGAAUUGGACGCGGUUAGAAACCUAAUCAAACGACAGCGUUCCAUGCUCGCGGAUUUGUCACCCGCCGAAGCCGAGUAGCUCCUCGGCGCCGCCACAAAGCUGCAGGAGCCGGACGACAUGGUCCACCUCCUCCUGGAAGCCGGCUUGAGAAUAGUCCCCAGCCCCAACGCCUCUGAUGAAGUACACGUGGCGGAAGAUACGAACACAACUGUAAGUGAAAGCGAACAACCCAACCUAAUUGGCCCAUCACUUAUAAUGCUCUGUUUUCAUAUUUUUGUUGUGCUCAGAGAGAAGUGGUGGAGGUGGGAGAAGCAAUAUUUGAAGGUUCGAGGAAUGGAGAGGCGAAUGAAGUGAAGGCACUGUUGCGAAGAGGUGGUGGGAGUGUGAAGUAUCGUGAUCAAUAUGGUUUGACGGCGCUUCAUGCAGCGGCUUUUAAAGGGCACAAGGAUGUGAUGAAGGUGCUUAUUGAAUUAGCGGGUUUGGACUUGGAAUUUGAAGACGAGGAAGGUCACGUGCCCUUGCAUAUGGCGGUGGAGAGUGGCGAUGUGGAGACGGUACAAGUGUUGGUUGAGGAAGGUGUGAAUCUUAAUGUUGUGAAUAAAAGAGGGUGCUACCCCUUUACUAUCCUAAACAAAGAGAAUGCACAUGCCCAGAGUCAUCUUUAUAAAGUUUUGUAAUAGCUUAAUUAUUUAUGUUAAAACUCAAACCUAUUUGAAGAUAAUUUUGCAUAAGAGCACCCGGUAUUUCAAAACAGUGAAUUUCUCACGUACCAAUUUGUCUUAUUUUGACUUUGACUUUGACAUUAAGAUUUACAAGUACUACGGAAUGCAAAUCUUAAUUAGGAUAUUUCUACCUAGAAUCCCUUUUCCUUUAAAAACUCUCACUUUAUCUAAAAUUAAAGUUACAUUUGUCUCAUAAUAAUUUAUAUUACCCAAAUAAUCUAUUUUCUUUUAUGAAUGUAAUUGAGCUCUAUCAUUUUUAAAAGAAUAAAUAUGCAUUUGAAUUUCAGUUUAAAAAUUAAACUAAAUUUGAAUUAGAAAUAUAUAUUAUAAUUUUUUUAGUUAAUUUAAAUUUAAGAUGAAUUUUAGUUAAUUAAAAAAAAAAAUAAUGUCAAACAUAUUCAGAUAAUCUUUGAGUAUUACAAACUAAAUCAAAUGCAGCGUCCCAUUGUUUAAGAACCAAAGCAUGUAUCUUUUCCCUUUCUGAGACAGCACCUAUGCCAGAUGUAUCUGCAUUAGCCAUCUGUUACUGACGAAAAAGUAAAAACCAGCACCAUGAAUAACAUAUAGAAAAAUAUUCUUUCAUAUUAUAUAAAACAAAACACUCUCACUUUACAACCUAUUUGAAUAAUACAAUAAUAUAUAUCAAUAAUUUAUAUUAAAAUUAAAAUAUAAAAGAAAAAUAAUUAAAAUAAUAAUAUAAUGAUAUAAUAGAGAGUCAUCAUUGAUGAGUAUAUUACAUCGUUAAAGUCAUUCAACCGGUGUAAUAUAUGCGUAUUACACCAGUUAAGUCAUCUAAUCGGUGUAAUAUAUGACCCAAUAACGCUGAAUACUUGAACAAUAAACAAAGAAGCAACGACAACCGCACAAUAAAAACGUUUAUGGUUUGUGUUUCGCUUGUUUACUGAUUGUUUUGUGCUUUCCCCUCCUUCUUUGUCCCUCCAUUUGAUGAGGCCGUUGCUUCUUUCUCUCUUUUGUUCGACCUUUCCUUUCAUUUAAAACUCUUUCGCUUCCGUACUCAAACAUUAAACUCUUGCACUCUUACAAAAAUGACACAUAACAUAACUCCCAUCAGAAUUUAAAAAAAACCUUCCACAUCUUCACCCAAAAUCACAUCUACGACAUCUAAGUAUGUAUGUGUUAGUGGACAAAGAUGUGUUAACAAAACAUUUUCCAAUAAUAUAUUGAUAUCCCCUCCAUCAUUCUUCCUAUAAAAAGAGAACUCAGCAUUCUGUAUUACACACACCAACACCAUUCAUUAUCAUUCUCUUAGCAAUGUCUUCCUCUUUUGCCAUCCAUUUCUUCCUAAUCUCAUUACCCCUUUUCUCAGUUUGUUGCUUAUCAGCAUCUCAUGCUCCCAACACCAAGCCUCACCCCUUUAUCCUUCCCAUUAAGAAAGAUCCUGCAACCAAUCUGUUCUACACUUCAGUUGGUGUAGGAACUCCUAGGCACAACUUUGAUCUAACCAUUGAUCUUGCUGGAGAAAACCUAUGGUAUGACUGUAACACUCAUUACAACUCUUCUUCCUACCGUCCUAUCGCUUGUGGCUCAAAGCAAUGCCCCGAUGUUGGAUGUGUUGGCUGCAGUGGCCCCUUCAAACCAGGUUGCACAAACAACACAUGUCCUUCUAAUACAAUCAAUCCAUUAGCAAAGUUCCUUUUCGGUAGUGGUGGCUUAGCUAAGGAUUUCAUAUUCAUUGUUCAACAGAAAGUGUCUGGCUUGCUUUCUGGCUGUCUUGACACAGAUGGAUUCCGACCCUUCUCCAAUGACGAGUCACCUCUACAUGGCUUACCCAAAAACAGCAGAGGAAUUAUAGGCCUUUCAAAGUCCCAGCUUGCAUUAACAAUUCAGCUUGCAUCCGCUAAUAAGCUUCCUUCCAAGUUUUCUCUCUGUUUACCCUCUUUAAACCACCAAGGUUUCACCAACUUGCUUGUUGGAACUGGGGAACAUCCUCUGGGAAUAUCCAAAUUUCUCCAAACCACCCCUCUCAUUGUCAACCCCAUUUCCACAGGUCCUAUAUCUGUGGACGGUGUUGCUUCCAAGGAAUACUUCAUUGACGUGAAAGCAGUUAAGAUUGAUGGGCAUGUGGUGAACCUAAAGCCUUCUCUUUUGUCUAUUGACAAGAAGGGAAAUGGGGGCACCAAGAUUAGUACCAUGAGUCCAUUCACUGAAUUACAAACCUCUGUCUACAAGCCUUUCCUUCGCGAUUUCCUCAAGAAAGCCUCCGACAGAAGAUUAAAGAAAGUGGCAGCAGUGGCACCAUUUGAGGCAUGCUUUGAUUCAACCAGAAUUGGUAAUUCCGCAACAGGACUAGUUGUGCCAACUAUUGAUCUGGUGCUGCAAGGGGGAGCACAGUGGAGUAUUCAUGGAGCCAAUUCCAUGGUUAUGGCAAAGAAAAAUGUUGCAUGUCUGGCAAUUGUUGAUGGAGGGACAGAGCCUAGAAUGUCUUCUGUGAAAGCUUCAAUUGUGAUCGGAGGAUAUCAGUUGCAGGACAACCAUUUGGUGUUUGAUCUGGCUUCCUCUAAAUUAAGCUUCAGUUCAUCACUUUUGCUCCAUAAUGCCACGUGCUCUCGCUCUUGAAUCAUAGAAUCACAUGUGCUUAUGACUCCUUCAAGAAUAUGUAAUUGAAACUAUCUUUGGAUUUCGAGGAGUAAAAUAACAAAGUUGUUUGCUUUUAAUGAAGAGUGCCACUGCUUUCACAUUGUUCAAAAAAAAAUAAUGUACUUCAACACUCAUUAUUUUAAUUAUAUUUUUUUCAUAUUUUAAUAUAACUUUUAUUAUAUUAUAAUAAUAGGUUGUAAAAUAGAGGGUUUUGUUUUAUACACAGUUAAAGAAUCAUUUUUCUGUAAUGAAUAAUGGUGUCAAAAGAUAAUUUCCAAAAAAAAAAUGCUAAUUUUUCUGUGUCAGAAACUUUCGGUACAAGUGGGUAUGGAUCAGUUUUUUCUAUUUUAGAUUUAUUAUUUUUUAUUCUUUUAUAAAAAUGUGUAAGUUAUGUUUCAAAGUAUUAAUUUAAAUUUUUGAAAUAGUACAUCCAAACAUGAUUUUAGAUUUAUAUAUUUCAGAAUUUUUUUUAUUGAAUUCUUGCUUUUAAGUUUAUACAUCAAUUUUUUGUGUGUAAAAACAUGUUUAAAAAUAUAACUUUGUUAUAAUUUUAACUUUUUUUUUUAUUUUAAAUCGCUAUAAAAAAACACGACUUGUUUAAUUGUUUUUCUUUUGAUUUUUUUUAAUAAUAAGGACGAGCAUGAUAAUUGGAUAACAGGGAAUGCAUUAUGACGGCUCAAUUUUCUAUUUAGCAUCAUUUACACUUUUAUUUCUCCAUCUAGCACUCUUUUGUUUUUAAUUCCCUAUCUAAUACCUUUUUGUUUUUAUUUCUCUAUCUAGCAUCUUUUUAUUUUUUAUUUCUCUAUCUAGCACAAUUUCAAAAAUAAAUAAUAAAUUAUUAUUAUUUUGAUAAUUUUAAUUUUGAAUGUAUUAAAAAAUAAGUAUUUUUAAUGUUUAAAAUAGUUAGAAAUAUAAUUAAUGAAUAAAAAAAUGAGUUUUUACAAAAUAAAAAUAAAGAAGUAAUAAAUUUAAAAUGUUUAGUUUAAAAUUAUUUUUUUUUUAAAUGAAGAAAAUAAAAAAUUAAACCCUACAAUAACAUAAAAGUUGAAUCUAUAAACAUAAAUUAAUAUUUAUUUUUAUUAUUAUUGAGGAUUUAAUAUGUUAAUUUCAAGUAAAAAAAUACAUGAUAUAAUUAUAAAAAAAACAAAUUAAUUAGUAUUAAUUAAUAGAGGACACACAAAUAAUAUUGAAGUGUUUACCUUAAAUGCAAAAUCCUAAAAAAAAAAAAAACUAAUGCAAAUGUUACCCUUAAUGCUUAAAAAUGAGAAGAAAAAAUGCAAAAAUAAAUAAGUCUAGAAAAUAAAAACAACAACAAUCAAAUAAAAACAAAAAAACAGAAAUAAAUAAAGAGUGACAGAAAAAAAAAAACUAAAAACAUAAAAGAUAUAAAAUAAAGGCAAAACAAAAUAAGAUAAAGAUAAAAUAUAUAAAAAAAAGUCCAAAUAAGAUAAAUAUAAGAGAUAUAAGAUGAUACUAAAUAAGUAUAUGUUGAUCAUAAAAGGAAAAAUAAAUGAAAGAUUGUCAUUCAUUUAAUAUUUUCUUCAAUGGUACAUUAAAUAGUUUGUGCGAAAUGAAACAUAAUUAAUGACGAGAAGUGCACAAUCCAGUAAUGUUGGGACAUGUUCUUUAUGUGUGUCAUGGUAUUUGAUAAUAUGAACAUUUUUUUGUUCGAUCAUGUUGUUCUCUUAUGUCCAUAUCAGUCCUUAUUCAACUUGGUUUUUUUAUAAUUAUGUCAUGUAUUUUUUACUUGAAAUUAACAUGAUUACAUCAUCAAUAAUAAUAAAAAUAAAUAUUAAUUUAUGUUUAUAGAUUCAACUUUUAUGUUGUUGUAAAGUUUAAUUUUUUUAUUUUCUUCAUUCUUAAAAAAAUAAUUUUUAAACUAAACAUUUUAAAUUUUUUAUUUUAUAAAAAUUCAUUUUUUUAUUCAUUAAUUAUAUUUCUAAUAAUUAUAUUUCUAAUUAUUUUAAACAUUAAAAAUAUUUAUUUUUUAAUACAUUUAAAAUUAAAAUUAUCAAAAAAAAUUAAUUUAUUAUUUAUUUAUUUUUGAAAUGGUGCUAGAUAUGAAAAUAAAAAAUAAAAGAGUGUUAAAUAAGGAAAUAAAAACAAAAUGGUACUAGAUAGGAAAAUAAAAAUAAAAAUAUGCUAAAUGGAGAAAUAAAAGUGUAAAUGGUACUUCAUAACGAAUUUACCCGCAUUAUGCAUUAUCGUGGUUGGUAAAUUAUGAGAAUGCACUGAUAAUUGUGUUUGAAGAACAUUGCUCUUUAUUUUGUAACUGUUAAUUUGAAAUUACUCCUAUUUAAUUCUGAAAAAGAUCCUGGAAGUGACUUCUCACUUUAAUAAAUUUAGUUUCUAAAAUAUUUAAUUCUCUUAUACUAAAGAAUUAAUUAAUUUAAGAUUGGAAUGUUUUUAGAUCUUACUUUGAAAUUUAAUUUAAAAAUAAACACUUUUAGAAUUAAACUUCAGAAAGUUUAGUUUUAAAAAUAAACAUCCUUAUGUAGUUUCUUUUCUUUGUUUCGUUAGUUAUGUCUCGUUCCAAAAUAGGUACAUAUUAUGACAACUGGCAUAUCAGCUAUUAGACCAACAAUGUACUAGUAUCCCUAAGAUCAAUAUUCCAUAAUCUCAAAAUAAAAAUAAGACAUUUACAAAAGUUGAUAAAGGAUAAAAAUAUUUUAGUAGAGUAUUUAUUAUUUGCAUUUUAAAUAUUACAUAAACUAAUUUUUUGUAGCUAUCCGUUGCAAAGUUAGAAAUGUCUUUAGUGGUGAUUAUCAGUUUUCUAUAAGGAUUAUCACAAGGUCAAUUUGAAAGUCAUUAUCGGAAGUAUUUAUAAAAACAAUUUUUCUUAAAAAUAUCUUGUUUAAUACACUCAUAUUUGACCUAUACACUUAAACAUGAGAAAGUCCUUUUCAAGUAAACAUCUCCUUUAUUUGGAAACCAACCUUAUAGAGAAAUACCGAGAUCUGAAAAUUCACUACAAUAUUUUCCGAAUACAUUUACAUUUCUGAUAAGAACAAUUUUAAUUUCAAAAAUUUUAAAUAAAGGAUGUUGCGUAUAAAAAAUAAAAAAUAUUUAAACUAUUUUUAUAAAUAUUAUAUUUUCACCGUCAAAUCAUAAAUUAUUAUUUUUUAAUUAUUAGAAAUAAAGAGAAGAAUUUUUGUUUGAAUAAAGGACUAAGUCACACACACAAUAGAUGAAUUUAUGAACCCAGUAGUUUGAAACUGCAUGGAGAAGUGGUAUGAGAACAAGUUGAGUAUUGACACCAUUGACCCAUCCUCUUUGAAGAAGCCCUACUAAUUAAUAAUAUGAUCAAAGAGUCAUUAUAUGCAAUGGGCCCUAAGGCCUCGCUAGCUAUAAAAGAAGAACAUAGCAUUUAUUAUCCUCAAUACCUUGCUAGGAUUCGAUUUAAAUUUUAUAUCCAUUAUCAAAUUAAUUUAGAUUAUUUUAAUCUAAUUGAAGUUUGGAUUUAAAUUUCAUUAAACCUAUAUUCAUUUACUUUGGAUAAAAUUGAAACUAUUAUAUAUGAUAAAUACGAUAAUAAAUUUUUGCAAUAUUGUUUGAUUGUACAAAGAAAUAUCACAUGAAUUUCACGAAUACAGUAUAAAAUAAGAGAAUAAAAUGACUAAAUAAAAUAAAAUAAAUAAUAGAAAAAAAUAAUCAAACUUUGGGACUAUGAACAAAGAAAAGCCAAAUCACUAAAUAUAUCAUUCACGUAAUUGCAUAUGAAAUAUUCAAAAGAGUGAUCCUUUUAGAUAUUAAAAAUUCAUUGGUAUGGUAUGGCUAGUUGCGUUGAUGUGAAGGACCAAGUCUGGGCGAGUGAGGCCCAAUUAAAGUAGUUGAGCAUUUACACCACAGAGCCAUCCUCUUUGACCAAACACUACCAAUAAUAUGAUCAAAGAGUCAUAAAUGUAAUGACUUUAGUUACAUGCAACAGACCCUCACGCCUUCCUCUAAAAUGACUUCUUAUACCCUUCACUUCAUUGUCAUUGUUUUCUCUAUUACCCUUUUUUCACUUUCAUCAUGCUUAUCAGCAUCACAUGCACCAAAAUCUAGAGUAAAUCUAGGGCAACAAAACCAUUCAUAUAUUCAAAGGUCCUUUAAAAAGGAUAAGUUUGGGCCUUAUGGGCCUUACACAUAUCGACACUAUUUUAUCACUUAAAACUACUCUAUCAAUUAUAACAAUAAGUAUAACUGCUCUAUUAUUUUCUUUUUAUCUUUUAUUUUUUUAUAUGCUAUGUAAAUAUAGUACACAAUUUUUAACAAUUUUUUAUUAAUAAAAUAUAUCACUUUUUUAUUUAUUUAUUUAUAUGAGAUACACAAAACUAAUAGGUACUUUGUUUGAGGAAAGUGUUCCAUCUACUGAAUACUUCAUUGAUGUAAAAUCAAUUAAGAUUGAUGACAAUGUUGUGAACUUAAAGCCUUCUCCGUUGUCAUAGAUGGGAAGGGCAACGAGGGCAGCCAAAAUUAACACCGUCACUAGUUUUGUUGAAUUGCAAAGUUUUGUCUAUAAGCCUUUUGUUAGAGAUUUCCUCAAGAAAGCUGCAGAUAGAAGGCUGAAGAGAGUAGCAUUUGAGGCAUGAUUCGAUUCAAGAAGUAUUGGCAAUUCCAUAACUGGUUUUGUUGUGCCAACUGUGGAUCUAGUGCUACAAGAAGGAGUGCAAUGGACUAUUCAUGGAGCUAAUCGGAUGGUAUUAGGAAAGUAAAAUGUUGCAUGCCUGCCAUUUGUUGAUGGAGGGAAAAUAGCAACAUGUCAUUUUUGUACCUAUAGUUUUUUUAGCUUCGGUGAGCUAAAAAACAUGAAUUUGUUCGUUUGAGUUCAACUAUUUUAAGAAUAAAAUUUGGGUAACUGAUAUCUUUGUUAGUAAGUAUCAAUUACUUUCUUCCUAACCAAAUCAUUUACUUUUCUAAACAUUAAUUGUUUGCAAAAAGAAUAGAAUAAAAAUAAUUAUUUUGUUAAAUUAAAGUUACAAUUAUACGAUAAUUUAUAUUGUAGAAAAUUAUAGAGAAAUGCAAUUAAUCUUUUAUGAAUGUUAUAUGAAUAUUGCCAAAACUAUUGACAUUUAUUUAUAAUUUUCAAAGAUGAAACAGUAUUUUAUUUAAGAAUCCAAGUUUAUCCUUUUUCCCUUUCCCUUUCGGAGGACAACCUAUGUAUGCCAGCUGUGUUAGAUUAGUAUCCAAAAUAUAAAGUCUGGAUUAUAUAGCCAUCCUUUUUGACCAAACAGCAAUCUUAAAUAUCAUUAUUAAUUGAACUUCUUCGUAUGAUAUGCUCUGCAUCCUGCUUCCUAUAAAAGGAAAACUUAGCCUUCUGUAUUACACACACCGCAACAUUCAUUAUCAUUCUCUUAGCAAUGUCUUCCUCUUUUGCCAUCCAUUUCUUCCUAAUCUCAAUACCCCUUUUCUCAGUUUGUUGCUUAUCAGCAUCUCAUGCUCCCAGCACCAAGCCUCACCCCUUUAUCCUUCCCAUUAAGAAAGACCCUGCAACCAAUUUGUUCUACACUUCAGUUGGUGUAGGAACUCCUAGGCACAACUUUGAUCUCACCAUUGAUCUUGCUGGAGAAAACCUAUGGUAUGACUGUAACACUCAUUACAAUUCUUCUUCCUACCGUCCUAUUGCUUGUGGCUCAAAGCAAUGCCCCGACGUUGGAUGUGUUGGCUGCAAUGGUCCCUUCAAACCAGGUUGCACAAACAACACAUGUCCCGCUAACACAAUC